CUUUACACUCUCGUGUCCACGGCAUACAUUUUGGCGGUCUCUGUCCGAGGGGCUACGUAUGACUUGGCCAUGGAAAUAGCUGCAUUUGAGUAGGCUUUCCUCAUGGAAUACGGAUAGUUCCUUUCAGGUCCAACAUCUGUUGGAAAGAGAUAAAUGUAGUUGUAUAGAAAUAAUUAUGAUUCAGUGAACUUUGGGGAAAAAUGUCAUUUUACACAUUCUUCUCAUAAAGAGACAAAAAUAUAAAUACUUUAAGAAGGAAUCAUCUAAGAAGAACCCUAGAAUAAAAUCUAAGAUUUUCAUCUGGAAAGUUAUUUUUAGAUUAAAAGCUUAGGUACUUUCCUUCUUUUUCUCUCCUCCCUCUCUUCUGUCCUUCCUUCCUUCCUUCCUUCUUUCCUUUCUCUUUUCUUCCUUCCUUCCCUCCUUCCUUCUUUCCUGAUGAGGAGAUGGAUUUUCUUGCUUUUUAACAAUAUUUUUAGAAACCCAAUAGUAAUACAUUAUAUUUGUUAACAACAAAUAUUUGACUUGGCUCUCAGUCUACUUCUCUGUUUAACUCUAGAUAUAAAUUUAGUAGAUUAGAUGAAGUUAGAUAUAUAAGAUUAUGAACACAUUGAAAUCAUCAUUAUAUAUUUAGAUAUUGGAUACAGUUAUAGAUGUGGUUUUUUCACCCAAUAUACCACUUAUGAGGUAUGAGGCUUGAAUAUUGCAAAUCAGUUUUCUUUGAACAACAGAAACUUCUCAAGUGUCAUUUUUUAUAAGAGGUAGGGAUCAAGUAAGCAACAUUAUUUUGCACUGGUGAGAACUGUUUCUACCAGAUUGGAAAGAUUGAUAAUGGAGGCAAGUAAGUGUGCUAUUUUAUUUUGUUCUUACCUUUGAAGAGGUAUAAGCAGCAUGUCAGGACAGCACCAGCCAAAAAGCAACCCAGAGACCCAGCCAUUCCAAGCCAGCAAGACCAACCAAAUUUGUAUUGGAUGCCAAGAAAUAUAUUGUGCAAAACCAGAGAAGAACGUUCUACAUAAACAUCAACAGCAUACCACACUGAACCAAUGAUUCCUGGGGCACCUGAAAGAAAGAAAAGUUGCUAAAAUAAUACAGGCUUUCCAAAUGGGUGACCCUUCUUGGCCAACAUUCCAUCUUAACCCUUUAAUCUUGCACUGUCAACUGAGCAAAUUUCAACUAUGGCCAAUGAGAGUAUGUGGUAGAAGGUCCAGGGAAGAGGGUAUUAGGUAAGUAGAAGUGGAAUAGUAGCAAUCAUCGUCUGCAGUGGAAGCAUCCUCAAAUGUGAAAACCUCUUGAACUGUGAGUCUCGGUUAUGCUAACUUAAAAAUGGGAAAUUUUGUCAGAAAUGGAGGGUUAAUUACCUGAUGUCAAAACUACUACUAUUUUAGCUCACUAAUGGAAAGGAGGAAUACAAUUUAUUCUUUUUGAGGGUAUUGUAAUUAUGUUUUAUUUUCAUAGUGAUGGGGGCUUCCUUGUAUUUUAAAUAAUUCUUCUGCAGUGGUGAGAUAAAUUUAGGGCUGAUUUAGUAAUAGAUGGCUUGUAAAAUGUGGCCAAUUUAUUUAAAAUAAAAAAAUACCUUUAUAAUCCAUCUAAGAGGAAAUCAAUGCAUAAAAUCAGCUUUUACCUGAUUAAUAGGUGAAUAAUUAAGAUCUUAAUAUAUGGCAUUAUUUCAAAAAAUUUAGAUUUAUAUUUCUCAUUUAGGCCAAAUCUAAGGCUUAUUUUUCUCAAAUUUCAAGAAAGAGAAAAAUAUGUGCCUAACUAGGCUAUAUAUAUAGAAGCGGGUUUCCUACUCAGCACCCCAAGCCAAGCAGUCCCACACUUUGGAGUGCCUUCCUUAAAUAUUAAGUCCCUUUUGGACCUGGGACCAAUAGGGCCAGGAUUGCCUUUGAAUGGGACACGUUGAAAUUGUGACCCUGGUUUUCCCCUCUCCAAGCCUUGAUCCUACAUAAAGCAUGAUUUCUGAUGCUCUGUAGAACUCCAGGACUCAUGUCUAUGGUAUUAUCCAGCCAGCCUUAUGGCCUGUCCAGUUCUAAGAGGGCAGUUCUGCAGGCAGACUGCUAAUGCUAACGAACCAGGAAUUUUUUUCCCAGGUAUUGUCUGAGAACUGGCUGCUAGAAUAAUGUUAAAUAUUCUGACUGGAGAAAAGGGAACUCAAAUUAACUAUAUCAACAAGAGCCCUGAAAAAAAAUUUUGUCUGGGUCUGUAUAUCCUAGGUCCAUAGGACAGUGGGAAAAGUUAUCUAAUUGUGAUUCUAUAAAAGAUAUCAAAGACUAAAAAUAAAAUUUUAUAGGUAAUAUCCUAACUUAGAGGGUAUAGUUGUUAUUUUCUUAGAAUACAUGUUUGUAGCUGUAGUCUCUAAGCAUAUGAUGGAAUUUCUUAAUCAAAAGUAAUUACUUUUUAAGAUAUUAUUUGAAAUUCAUAGGUAAGAACAUAUUUUAAAAUGUGAGGCAAAAGAUUAAAAAAAGAAAUAUUUAAAAAUACAAUCAGCAGUUUUCUCUGUGCAGUAAGCUUAUAAGUGAUUUUCUGUUAUUCUUGUAUAAAUGUACAUAACAACAUUUACAAGUUUGAAAUAUUUUAUCUUUAUUUUUUUUUUCUCCGCUCCCACCAUAGCACCACAUUUCUGGAAUAGCCUAGUGUCCACAUGAGCUUACAUUUUUAUUGACCAAAUCAUGCUUUUUCGUGGAUAGAAGUACGUUACCACAAGGAGGGAAAAAGAGAAAGAAUUAAGAAGUUUCAAAAAAAAAUGAAAUAUAGGCUUUAUGAAUUAGGUUAAAAAAAAACACUCAAAUCCUAAAUAGCAGAAGAAGAUAUUUUAGAGCACUGCUCCUUUUAAAUGCUUAUCCCUGGACUGAAAUAGCUGUCCAGGGGAAAAGUCACAUUCCAAGCAUUUGCUUUUCAUUUAUCUUCAGAAAAGAAGUUGCCAUGCUCUACCAUACCCCGUCUGCUUUGAAGGAGACCAAAACCAAUUAGCUUUAACAACAGCACCAGUAUUUCUUGGCAUGAUUCAAUGUUCUAAAUAAAUAAAUAUCUGCUGUGGAGAAAUACUGAGAGAAUCAAUGAUAACAUUUUUUCAUCUAUGAAAUCUCUUUCUUCAUAGAAAUAUGGACCUUGUUAAUACCUAAUUAAAAUUUAAAGCUAAAGGUUAGGAAGAAGAAGGAGCUGGCUUUACUAUUUCUGUUAAUUGUGUGUCAUAUGUAUUGAUUCUUUUCAUUCCCUGAUCCUAUAAUCUGUGUGUCUCUCUUUGCCUAUCUCCAUGUCUGUUUUUCUCUUUGUCUCUGCCCCCUCUGUUUCCACCUUCUCUCUUUCUCAGCAACUCUCAAUGAAUUACUGUCAACUUCCUAUUUGACUUACAUCACAGCUAAAAGACAUCUCUGAAAUGGUUUUCCUCUAAUGUGUCAAUUCUAAUCCUCCAGUAACCACACCCUGAAGAAUUCAUCUCAAUUUAAAAAGUGUUUACUUUAAGUCUGUGUGUAAGACACUCUGCCAGGUAUUUGGGGGGAGGGGGGCAGAGAUGAAGAAGUUAAUAUUUUUACCUUAAAAGAAUGUAUACAACAUGGAAAAAGAUAAAAUAUGCCCAACGUGUUUCAAUUCACGUUUCUGAACUUUUUAUGGAAACAUUUAAAAUGAGACAGAACUUUACCAUAGUUCUGUAGAAACACACACACACACACACACACACACACACACACACAAUGAAAACCUGUUUGGGUUCCCUCCCUGGCAAGGGGUUGUCUAAGGCAUACAUACAGGGGUGUUCGGCAAGGAUAGAAUCAUACUCGUCACAGGUGCGAAUCCCAUCAAAAACGUUCGUGACACACUCCCACCAGAGGCCUCGGCAUUUGGUGCUCACCUAGAUGUUGGGAGAAGACACUGUGUGAAACAACUCAUGCAGGCACACUCUAGUUCCUCUCGAUCAAAGGAAGACCUUGGCUGUUGUGCAUUUGAUAGUAAAGUACAUUGGUUGCAAGCGUGAUCAGAAUUUCAUUUACCACAAACACAAUGUGUUUUACAGUAUUUUCCCUUAAGCACUAACAACUAAAGGCUUUCUCCACCAGGAAAUGAAUUCACUUCCUGAUGGGGUGGGGAGGGGGGGCAGUGGUACCUAACUACAUAAAGUCUUCAUUACAUAUAGGCAAAUGUCUAUGGCUGGUUUGAUCGUGGAGUCAUGGUUUCACACGGAGACAAUUUAUGUCACUUUUCCUCUGCUGACAUUUUUCAUCAUAAAUAAAUAAAUAAAUAAAUAUAACAAUAAAU